CACGUGUCUGUUUCCGGGAGCAUGAGCAUCUGUGCACAUUGCUUGGCGUCACUGCGGCUACGCUCCUCCUCCUGUUUCCCCACAGUGGGCGCGGGGGACAAAUCCAGAGCACAGCUUUGUGCUGUGCAGGAACAGCCACGACAGAAAAGUUCAUCAGCCGAGUCCAUUAUUUGCACAGCUUUGGUGACAAGGCCACAACAUCCAGUGUCUUCCUGGAGUGUGGGGAGGUGAGGGGCUUUCUCCUCCCCUCCUUUCUGCACGAUCAUAGAGCCUGCGUUGCAGCAGACUGUGUACAAAUGCCUGGAAAUACUAUCAGCAACAUAGAUGGAUCGAAUCGUAUCGAGGAUGUAUUGAUGCAUUUGAAACAUCUCUGCACUGGUUCAGAGGAGAGCUGAGAGGAGGAGGAGGAAUUCACAGGUCAAGAG